GACGGAGGAUGCAAGCGUUAUCCGGAAUUAUUGGGCGUAAAGCGUCCUUAGGUGGCCUAUCAAGUCUGCUGUUAAAUCCCAGGGCUCAACUCUGGAUCAGCAGUGGAAACUGAUAAGCUAGAGUGCGGUAGGGGCAGAGGGAAUUCCCGGUGUAGCGGUGAAAUGCGUAGAUAUCGGGAAGAACACCAGUGGCGAAGGUGCUCUGCGGGGCCGUAAUUGACACUCAUGGACGAAAGCUAGGGGAGCGAAAGGG
rnacentral:rRNA from 1 species